rnacentral:rRNA from 1 species
UAGGGAAUCUUCCACAAUGGACGCAAGUCUGAUGGAGCAACGCCGCGUGAGUGAAGAAGGCUUUCGGGUCGUAAAACUCUGUUAUUGAAGAAGAACGUGUGUGACAGUAACUGGUCAUGCAGUGACGGUAUUCAAUCAGAAAGUCACGGCUAACUACGUGCCAGCAGCCGCGGUAAUACGUAGGUGGCAAGCGUUGUCCGGAUUUAUUGGGCGUAAAGCGAGUGCAGGCGGUCUUUUAAGUCUGAUGUGAAAGCCUUCGGCUUAACCGAAGAAGGGCAUCGGAA